rnacentral:rRNA from 1 species
GACGAACGCUGGCGGCGUGCUUAACACAUGCAAGUCGAACGGAAAGGCCCUGCUUUUGUGGGGUGCUCGAGUGGCGAACGGGUGAGUAACACGUGAGUAACCUGCCCUUGACUUUGGGAUAACUUCAGGAAACUGGGGCUAAUACCGGAUAGGAGCUCCUGCUGCAUGGUGGGGGUUGGAAAGUUUCGGCGGUUGGGGAUGGACUCGCGGCUUAUCAGCUUGUUGGUGGGGUAGUGGCUUACCAAGGCUUUGACGGGUAGCCGGCCUGAGAGGGUGACCGGGCAAAAUUGGGAUGGAGAGCGGGCCAGGCCCCCUCGGGGGGGAGGAAGGGGGAAAUUUGGCAAAAGGGGGGGAGGCCGGAUGCAGCACCGCCGGGUGGGGGAUGAGGGCUUGCGGGUGGAAAACCGCUUUCGCCUGUGACGAAGGGGGAGUGAGGGUAGUGGGUAAAGAAGACCCGGCAAAUUACGUC